CUGAAGAAAAAGCAUCGGCUAACUCCGUGCCAGCAGCCGCGGUAAUACGGAGGAUGCAAGCGUUAUCCGGAAUCAUUGGGCGUAAAGGGUCCGCAGGUGGCGAAUAAAGUCUGCUGUUAAAGACCGGGGCUUAACUCCGGAAAGGCAGUGGAAACUGAUUAGCUAGAGUACGGUAGGGGUAGAGGGAAUUCCCAGUGUAGCGGUGAAAUGCGUAGAUAUUGGGAAGAACACCGGUGGCGAAAGCGCUCUACUAGGCCGAAACUGACACUGAGGGACGAAAGCUAGGGUAGCGAAAGGGAUUAGAUACCCCUGUAGUCUUAGCGGUAAACGAUGGAUACUAGGUGUAGCUUGUAUCGACCCAAGCUGUGCCGAAGCUAACGCGAUAAGUAUCCCGCCUGGGGAGUACGCACGCAAGUGUGAAACUCAAAGGAAUUGACGGGGGCCCGCACAAGCGGUGGAGUAUGUGGUUUAAUUCGAUGCAACGCGAAGAACCUUACCAGGGCUUGACAUGUCGCGAAUCUAGCGGAAACGUUAGAGUGCCUUAGGGAAUGCGAACACAGGUGGUGCAUGGCUGUCGUCAGCUCGUGUCGUGAGAUGUUGGGUUAAGUCCCGCAACGAGCGCAACCCUCGUCCUUAGUUGCCAAUAUUAAGUUAGGCACUCUAGGGAGACUGCCGGGGACAACUCGGAGGAAGGUGGGGAUGACGUCAAGUCAGCAUGCCCCUUACGUCCUGGGCGACACACGUACUACAAUGGUUGGGACAAAGGGCAGCAAGCUCGCGAGAGUAAGCGAAUCUCAUCAAACCCAGCCACAGUUCAGAUUGCAGGCUGCAACUCGCCUGCAUGAAGUAGGAAUCGCUAGUAAUCGCAGGUCAGCAUACUGCGGUGAAUUCGUUCCCGGGCCUUGUACACACCGCCCGUCACACCAUGGAAGCUGGCUACGCCCGAAGUCGUUACCCUAACCCGGUUUUGGGAGGGGGAUGCCGAAGGUAGAGCUAGUGACUGGGGUGAAGUCGUAACAAGGUAGCCGUACCGGAAGGUGUGGCUGGAUCACCUCCUUU
rnacentral:rRNA from 1 species